CGGGUGAGUAACGCGUGGAUAACCUGCCUCACACUGGGGGAUAACAGUUAGAAAUGACUGCUAAUACCGCAUAAGCGCACAGUACCGCAUGGUACAGUGUGGAAAACUCCGGUGGUGUGAGAUGGAUCCGCGUCUGAUUAGCCAGUUGGCGGGGUAACGGCCCACCAAAGCGACGAUCAGUAGCCGACCUGAGAGGGUGACCGGCCACAUUGGGACUGAGACACGGCCCAA
rnacentral:rRNA from 1 species